rnacentral:rRNA from 1 species
UACGGGGGGGGCAAGCGUUGUUCGGAAUUACUGGGCGUAAAGGGCUCGUAGGCGGCCAACUAAGUCAGACGUGAAAUCCCUCGGCUUAACCGGGGAACUGCGUCUGAUACUGGAUGGCUAGAGGUUGGGAGAGGGAUGCGGAAUUCCAGGUGUAGCGGUGAAAUGCGUAGAUAUCAGGAGGAACACCAAUAGCGAAGGCAGCUCGCUGGGACGGUACUGACGCUGAGGCGCGAAAGCGUGGGGAGCGAACAGG